rnacentral:misc_RNA from 1 species
GUCUCCAGGUCCUCUAAUAAAGCCAAUCAAGGAUGGACAAAUCAGGGGAGUCCUUUUAACAUCAUAUACUGCGAUCAGGCCAUUAUAUAAUUCAUCUCCAUCCUUGAAAGACACAGCCAGUCGCUCGCCUGAAGCAUCCCAUGCUAUCUUCUCAAUACCAUGACUGUUUGUCAAAGUAGUAAUCUCUGGCAAAUCAACAGCUAACAGAUGUG